AUGGGCUGUAACACGGGUCUGACCGAGGGCUGUAACACAGGUCUGACCAACGGCUAUAAUAACACUGGUCCCUCUGAGGGCUAUAACACUGUCUGGGGCUCACAGACCUCCCCGUCCUCCCCAGCACCCUCCUCUCAUCUCUUGGUUUUCCUCUCCCUCCAGUCUAUGGUGCUGCUCCUCCACAGCCAGAGGCAAUACAUCUUUGAGUUUGACAAGAACGACCGCCUCUCUUCUGUGACCAUGCCCAACGUGGCUCGGCAGACACUGGAGACCAUCCGCUCAGUGGGUUACUACAGGAACAUCUACCAGCCCCCCGAGGGCAAUGCCUCAGUCAUCCAGGACUUCACCGAGGAUGGGCACCUCCUCCACACCUUCUACCUGGGCACCGGCCGCAGGGUGAUAUACAAGUAUGGCAAGCUGUCCAAGCUGGCCGAGCUACUGUAUGACACCACCAAGGUGAGCUUCACCUACGAUGAGACUGCUGGCAUGCUCAAGACCGUCAACCUACAGAACGAGGGCUUCACCUGCACCAUCCGCUACCGUCAGAUCGGGCCCCUGAUCGACCGCCAGAUCUUCCGCUUCACCGAGGAAGGCAUGGUCAAUGCCCGCUUUGACUACAACUAUGACAACAGCUUCCGGGUGACCAGCAUGCAGGCCGUGAUCAACGAGACCCCACUGCCCAUUGACCUGUAUCGCUAUGACGACGUGUCGGGCAAGACAGAGCAGUUCGGGAAGUUUGGUGUCAUCUACUAUGACAUUAACCAGAUCAUCACCACAACGGUCAUGACCCACACCAAGCACUUUGACGCCUACGGCCGAAUGAAGGAAGUGCAAUAUGAGAUCUUCCGCUCACUCAUGUACUGGAUGACCGUCCAGUAUGACAACAUGGGGCGAGUGGUGAAGAAGGAGCUGAAAGUAGGACCCUACGCCAACACCACCCGCUACUCCUAUGAGUAUGAUGCCGAUGGCCAGCUGCAGACGGUCUCCAUCAAUGACAAGCCACUCUGGCGAUACAGCUAUGACCUCAAUGGGAACCUGCACUUACUGAGCCCUGGAAAUAGUGCGCGGCUUACCCCACUACGGUACGACCUCCGCGACCGGAUCACCAGGCUGGGCGAUGUACAGUAUAAGAUGGACGAGGAUGGUUUCUUGAGGCAGCGAGGCAGCGAUGUCUUUGAGUACAACUCAGCCGGCCUGCUCAUCAAGGCCUACAACCGGGGUGGUGGCUGGAGCGUCAGGUACCGCUACGAUGGCCUGGGGCGACGGGUGUCCAGCAAGAGCAGCCAGAGUCACCACCUGCAGUUCUUCUAUGCAGACCUGACCAACCCUACCAAGGUCACCCACCUCUACAACCACUCCAGCUCUGAGAUCACAUCCCUCUACUACGACCUGCAAGGGCACCUCUUUGCCAUGGAGCUGAGCAGCGGAGACGAGUUUUACAUAGCUUGUGACAACAUCGGGACCCCUCUUGCUGUCUUCAGUGGGACGGGCUUAAUGAUCAAGCAGAUCCUGUACACGGCCUAUGGGGAAAUCUACAUGGACACCAACCCCAACUUCCAGAUCAUCAUUGGCUACCAUGGUGGCCUCUACGAUCCACUCACCAAGCUCGUCCACAUGGGCCGGCGGGAUUACGACGUGCUGGCUGGUCGCUGGACUAGCCCAGACCACGAGUUGUGGAAGCACCUUAGUAGCAACAACAUCAUGCCCUUUAAUCUCUACAUGUUUAAAAACAACAACCCCAUCAGCAACUCUCAGGACAUCAAGUGCUUCAUGACAGGUGAGGAUCAGGGCUCAUUCAGAGGGCAGGGACCUCGACUGUUCUGGUCAUUAGGAUCAUCUUUCUUGACAAAGCCAGUAUGGCCAUUUCCUUCAUCAAACAAGGGCAUCCUCUGUUCAGCCACUAUUUUAGGCACUGGGGAUAGAAAGACAAUCCUGGCCCUCCGAAAAUUCCCCUUGCAUGAGGCCAGACAGACACACGCUGUGAAGUGUGAGAGGCCCGGUGAAG